rnacentral:lncRNA from 1 species
UUUUGUUUUAUGACGUCAAGAUUUUACGGGAACCAGUGUGAUAUCCAGUAAUGGCGGACAAAUAGCGAUAAGGUGUAUUCUGCCUUUGUCAGUCUUUCAAUGAUUCCAAAAACAAUUAUAAUUCAGAAUUUUUUUUCUUUAUGCCUGUAUAUAUAGAGACAACUUUUAAUUUAAAAGUGUUAAAAUUGUGAGUAAUUAAAAAAAAAUAACCUUCAUUCCCUAC